GGGAAGCUGCAGUGGUCCAGCUCCCUCUACUUGCCCUGAAGAUGUGAGCAUUGGAUGUCCCGCAUCCACAUUGUGCUUCAUCUCCUCCCUACACAGGAAAGCCAGGAACUUCGCGCUCUUUAUUGCCUUUCUCUCCAUCUACACCGAGGCAACACUAUUGUUUCUGGGGAGACAGAGGAAAGAAAAAGUUGACUGCAGAGCUCCAAUGUGAUGUGUUGGGAGGAAAAAGAAACCACAUCAAACCAAAUGAAACCAAGGAACAACCACUGUGCCAAGUUCCCACGAGAGGGCAGCAGAGAGCUGAGAACUGUUAGUCUGUGGAGACUCAAGUUCACCACCUUGCCUCCUACAGCCACAGUCAAUUCCAACAUUUUAGGGAUAAGGCGACACUGCUAUGUGCUCAACACUGCCUGAGAAAAGAACUAUACUGUUGUCUACCUGCUUGGAAUAGUUUGAGGAGCAGAGUGUAUGGAAAGAGCUCAAAGCCAAGAGUGUGUCUGGCACUACAGCUUGGGACCAGUUCAAGGACCUCCUCUGAUUUCUGGGAUUCUUCCUUACGGCCAAUUUUUGAAGAUCAAACUACUUUGACACUCAAGGUCAAAUGGAGAUGAAGACAGAAUCUAAUAACUGCUAAGUAUAUUGAUUUCAAUAGAGCUGGAAAAAUACAGUGAUUAAGUUAAGACUCACGGGUUAAUAAGAUGGUUGCUGAAGUCAUGGGCAAAGUGUAUGGAGGUCAACUGUUUAUUCUGAAGUGCACCAAACAGUAAAAUGAAUUGAUGACUCAAUAGAAACAAAUGGAUUAAUGAACACGUUUGAUAAAACAUUAACAUCCAACUUCAGUAGUGUACACUGUGAAAUUUGUUUCUUUUCCUGCUCUUGAUUUUUUUUAAUGUUAAAAUAUUAGAAGCAAACACUUUGGAAUCCAUGCAACCAGGCCAAUCUGAAUAGCAAUACUGAUUCACCAGAAAUACUU